rnacentral:rRNA from 1 species
UCUCGGGAGUAAAGUUUUGUUUAAACCGAAAAAAUAUUGACUGACUUUAGAUUUUUCUUUGGAAUAUGUGAUUUUGUUGGAGAGCCCUCUUUUUUGGUAAAUUUUGUUGGCACAUGUAUGAUUGUUUAGUUUUUAUUUUAUUUUGUAAUGCUUUUUUUGUUUUGGCAUUUAAAACAGAUAUAUAUUUGGUUUAUAAAUUUAUUUUUCAUGUGUUACUAUUAUAAAUUUUUUUUGGAUUAAUUUUUUAUUUUUUUUUGAAAUUGGAAAAGAAAGUAAUUGUCUU